GGGCAUUUGGUUUAGUGGUAUGAUUCUCGCUUAGGGUACGAGAGGCUUUAAGUUCAAUUCUCAAAAUGCACU
rnacentral:tRNA from 1 species